CACGUAGGGUGCAAGCGUUGUCCGGAAUCAUUGGGCGUAAAGAGCUCGUAGGCGGCUUAGUAAGUCGGGUGUGAAAACCCCAGGCUCAACCUGGGGACGCCACCCGAUACUGCUAUAGCUAGAGUCCAGUAGGGGAGUGUGGAAUUCCCAGUGUAGCGGUGAAAUGCGUAGAUAUUCGGAAGAACACCAGUGGCGAAGGCGACACACUGGCUCAUUACUGACGCUGAGGCGCGAAAGCGUGGGGAGCAAACAGG
rnacentral:rRNA from 1 species